GAUGAACGCUGACAGAAUGCUUAACACAUGCAAGUCAACUUGAACUUCGGUUUGGGUGGCGGACGGGUGAGUAACGCGUAAAGAACUUGCCUCACAGAUAGGGACAACAUUUGGAAACGAAUGCUAAUACCUGAUAUUAUGAUUUUAGGGCAUCCUAGGACUAUGAAAGCUAUAUGCGCUGUGAGAGAGCUUUGCGUCCCAUUAGCUAGUUGGAGAGGUAACGGCUCACCAAGGCGAUGAUGGGUAGCCGGCCUGAGAGGGUGAUCGGCCACAAGGGGACUGAGACACGGCCCUUACUCCUACGGGAGGCAGCAGUGGGGAAUAUUGGACAAUGGACCAAGAGUCUGAUCCAGCAAUUCUGUGUGCACGAUGAAGUUUUUCGGAAUGUAAAGUGCUUUCAGUUGGGAAGAAAAAAAUGACGGUACCAACAGAAGAAGUGACGGCUAAAUACGUG
rnacentral:rRNA from 1 species